rnacentral:misc_RNA from 1 species
AGAUUCUCUUUGCCGUCUUUAUCUCAAUUAUCGGGCUUAUCUUGUUUUCCUUGCUUAUUGGCAAUAUGCAGAAAUAUUUGCAAUCUAUCACGGUUAGAGUAGAAGAGAUGAGAGUGAGAAGGCGGGAUGCAGAACAGUGGAUGUCUCAUCGCAUGCUUCCUGACAUUCUGAAAGAGCGAAUUAGGCGACAUGAACAGUACAAAUGGCAAGAAACCAGGGGAGUUGAGGAAGAUUUACUGCUUCAAGAUCUUCCUAGAGACUUGAGGAGAGAUUUAAAGCGCCAUCUCUGUUGGUCUUUUCUCAAAAAAGUUCCCAUAUUUGAGAAAAUGGAUGACCAAUUACUGGACGCGUUGUGUGACAGACUGAAACCAGCACUCUUCACAGAUAAGAGCUUCAUAAUCCGAGAAGGAGAUCCAGUAGAAGAAAUGCUCUUUCUAAUGAGAGGUACACUGUUAACUAUGACCACAAAUGGUGGAAGGACUGGUUUUUUCAACUCUGUUUAUCUCAAGGCUGGUGGCUUCUGUGGAGAUGAGCUUUUAACAUGGGCUUUAGACCCCAAUACUUCUUCCGGUAGUCUUCCACUUUCAACCAGAACAGUACAGGCUGUAACUGAUAUAGAAGCUUUUGCCGUCACUGCUGAUGACCUCAAGUUUGUUGCUGCACAGUUUAGACGUCUAAAUAGCAAGCAGAUUCAGCAUACUUUCAAGUUCUGCUCACAGCAGUGGAGGACAUGGGGUGCAUGCUUUAUACAAGUAGCAUGGCGUCGAUACUGCAG